UGGAAGAAAAGGAUAUUUGUGU
rnacentral:piRNA from 1 species